GUGAAUCAUCGAAUCUUUGAACGCAUAUUGCGCCCUUUGGUAUUCCGAAGGGCAUGCCUGUUCGAGCGUCAUUAUCAACCAUCAAGCCUGGCUUGUUAUUGGACUCUUUUUGCGGCUGAAAUAUGUUGCAGGUCCGAAAGAUAAUGACGGUGUCGUGUUUGACCCUAGAUGCAACGAGCUUUUUAACUAUAGCACGCAUUGAAGUGGUCGACCGACCCGGUCUUUAACCAUCAUUUUCUAAGGUUGACCUCGGAUCAGGUAGGACUACCCGCUGAACUUAAGCAUAUCAAUAAGCGGAGG
rnacentral:misc_RNA from 1 species